AUGAUCAAAGAUAGGGUGAAUGCUGCCACCAGCUGCCUUCAAAAGAAAAAGAAGCUCAUCAAAAUGUUACCAGUGUGUCUUCACCUACCUUAUUCAUCAGAUCUGCCACCAUGCAACUGCUGGUCUUCCCCAAAGUCAAAUGAUCAUGAAAGCAUAGUCUGAAUUCUCUUGAGCAACCUUCACCCAGGAAGCAUACAUCACAUCUAGAGGAAGAAAUUGCAAGGUACUGAAGAAGUAGGCAGGUAUGAAGUACCCUUGAUCUUAAAUUGACUUUCUCAUGUCAGUUCCUUAACUACCAAAGCAAAUUCAUAUUAAACUUGCCCUAAGUACAUUUUAUUGGUUGACCUAAAUUUUAAAAUUGAAAAAAAUUUCUAGCUGGGAAUGGAGAACCCAUGAGCACCU
rnacentral:lncRNA from 1 species